CCUACGGGAGGUAGCAGUGAGGAAUAUUGGACAAUGGGCGCAAGCCUGAUCCAGCCAUGCCGCGUGCAGGAUGACGGCCCUAUGGGUUGUAAACUGCUUUUGUACGGGAAGAAACACCUCCACGUGUGGAGGUUUGACGGUACCGUAAGAAUAAGCAUCGGCUAACUCCGUGCCAGCAGCCGCGGUAAUACGGAGGAUGCAAGCGUUAUCCGGAAUCAUUGGGUUUAAAGGGUCCGUAGGCGGACAAUUAAGUCAGGGGUGAAAUUCUGCGGCUCAACCGUAGAACUGCCCUUGAUACUGGUUGUCUUGAAUCGUUGUGAAGUGGUUAGAAUGAGUAGUGUAGCGGUGAAAUGCUUAGAGAUUACUCAGAAUACCGAUUGCGAAGGCAGAUCACUAACAACGUAUUGACGCUGAGGGACGAAAGCGUGGGGAGCGAACAGGAUUAGAUACCCUGGUAGUCCACGCCGUAAACGAUGGAUACUAGCUGUCCGGUCUUCGGACUGGGUGGCCAAGCGAAAGUGAUAAGUAUCCCACCUGGGGAGUACGUUCGCAAGAAUGAAACUCAAAGGAAUUGACGG
rnacentral:rRNA from 1 species